UCCAUGCUGGCGUAGGAGCCGUCGAUGCCCACGGUGACGACGUGGGGGACGGCGGUCCGGGCACUGCCGAAGGGAG
rnacentral:tRNA from 1 species